AUUGAACGCUGGCGGCAUGCCUUACACAUGCAAGUCGAACGGCUGCACGGGAGCAAUCCUGGUGGCGAGUGGCGAACGGGUGAGUAAUGUAUCGGAACGUGCCCAGUCGUGGGGGAUAACGCAGCGAAAGCUGUGCUAAUACCGCAUACGAUCUAUGGAUGAAAGCGGGGGAUCGCAAGACCUCGCGCGAUUGGAGCGGCUGAUAUCAGAUUAGCUAGUUGGUGGGGUAAAAGCUUACCAAGGCGACGAUCUGUAGCUGGUCUGAGAGGACGACCAGCCACACUGGAACUGAGACACGGGCCAGACUCCUACGUGAGGCAGGAGUGGGGAAUUUUGGACAAUGGGCGCAAGCCUGAUCCAGCAGUGCGGCGUGCAGGAUGAAGGCCUUCGGGUUGUAAACUGCUUUUGUACGGAGCGAAAAGGCUCUCUCUAAUACAGGGGGCUUAUGACGGUACCGUAAGAAUAAGCACCGGCUAACUACGUGCCAGCAGCCGCGGUAA
rnacentral:rRNA from 1 species